rnacentral:rRNA from 1 species
AGCAGUAGCCGCGGUAAUACAGAGGAUUUAAGCGUUAUCCGGAAUGAUUGGGCGUAAAGCGUCUGUAGGUGGCUUUUCAAGUCCGCCGUCAAAUCCCAGGGCUCAACCCUGGACAGGCGGUGGAAACUACCAAGCUGGUGUACGGUAGGGGCAGAGGGAAUUUCCGGUGGAGCGGUGAAAUGCGUUGAGAUCGGAAAGAACACCAACGGCGAAGGCACUCUGCUGGGCCGACACUGACACUGAGAGACGAAAGCUAGGGGAGCAAAUGGGAUUAGAUACCCCGGUAGUCCCUGUCUCUUAUAC